UACGGGGGGGGGCAAGCGUUGUUCGGAAUUACUGGGCGUAAAGGGCUCGUAGGCGGCCAACUAAGUCAGACGUGAAAUCCCUCGGCUUAACCGGGGAACUGCGUCUGAUACUGGAUGGCUUGAGGUUGGGAGAGGGAUGCGGAAUUCCAGGUGUAGCGGUGAAAUGCGCAGAUAUCAGGAGGAACACCGGUGGCGAAGGCGGUUCUCUGGGCCUGAUACUGACGCUGGAGGAGCGAAAGCGUGGGGAGCAAACAGG
rnacentral:rRNA from 1 species